rnacentral:antisense_RNA from 1 species
CUUGUAAGAGCCCAGCACAGCACAGAUUUACAAAAUGAUACACAAAGACCUCAGAGCCCAAGUUUCCAGCCUGAUGUUCUGCCUUGUGGAUUUCAGAUUUGCCAAGCCCCACAAUUACAUAAUGAAAUUCCUUAAAGAAGCGAACUUUUGCUAUUGCACAGACCUGCUGCCUCCAGAGCGCCACGCCACUGAUUGUUUUCCUUGUUUCGUGGAAGGAAGACAAAACUUGUUCCAGCUCAACAAGGCUUCCUAUAUCUUUUGCCCCAUCAGUUUGUAAUUGUCCCCAAAUUCCAAUAUCUAAAACAUAAGAUCAAUAUUUUAUAAAGUGCCAUUUUAGUUAUGCAUUAUUUAGCUUUUCCUAUGAUAAAUUUUCCUACAAAGGUGUCAAAGUUACCCUCUUGGGCCAAGAUACAAGUAAUCUAAUGUAUGACAUUAUUAGAGCAACUAUUGAAGAAAUGGGAAAGAAGCAGAAAGUAUUGAUACAAUAAAAGAAAAUCUUGUGUUUUCUGAUUUUAAA